UACGGAGGUGGCAAGCGUUGCUCGGAAUCACUGGGCGUAAAGCGCACGUAGGCGGAUUUGCCAGUCAGGGGUGAAAUCCCGGGGCUCAACCUCGGAACUGCCUUUGAUACUGGUAGUCUCGAGUCCGGAAGAGGUGAGUGGAAUUCCGAGUGUAGAGGUGAAAUUCGUAGAUAUUCGGAGGAACACCAGUGGCGAAGGCGGCUCACUGGUCCGGUACUGACGCUGAGGUGCGAAAGCGUGGGGAGCAAACAGG
rnacentral:rRNA from 1 species